ACGCUGCAUGGUCUUUGUGACUGACGGGCAGGGCUCCCUGAUGCCCAGUAAACCCACACCACUGACCUGGACCCAGCAAAAAGCUGAUUGCCUUUUAAACCGUUACUGUUCGCCCUAAGCAAGUUGCUUUUUUAAUGAGGGCAGCUAGACUACCGUUGAUUUCCUGGCAGCCCCCACCAAGUUGCAGUGGCUAUUUCUAUUCUAGAAGAGCUUGUGGGUGAUGAAGAAGGGGCCUGGGAGAUUUAGUGCGGAACUUGGAAGCCCUUAGCUGCAGCCUUCUCACCUGUACACUGACUGUAGGGCUUGCUCUCGUGCAUGGAUAUUUUCUAACAAUAAAAGCACUGACUUG
rnacentral:lncRNA from 1 species